rnacentral:sRNA from 1 species
AUAUUUCGCUUCCCGCUUGCUCCUUUUUUUUGUGAGCCCUCUAAUGAUGUUGCCAGCAGGACGCGGCCCAGGAUGGGGGCAAAUAAGAUGCAUGUGGAAAAUGUGGCGCAUCCUAAACACGUUUUGCAUGAGGAAUAAACGUAAUUGUUUUUUCUGUGUCACAGUCGUUUGUUUGAUGAAGGUGCGAGCGAAAAUGGUGUUGAAUUAAAUUUUAAAUUGAAUUGCCGCCAAGGGAGUGAUAAAGUUUUACACACUUUCUACAUGAUGAGAGACAUCUUUCAACACAAUCUAAGUAUUUCAUACAACAAAAUAUAAUUCGUACGACAUAGAUUAUCUGGGUAUGAUAUUAAGUAAGUAUAAUGUGUAUGUAUUACAUUUGAAAAUCAAUUUUAAACUGAAAAACAUCCCAGUAUUUUAUUGCCCAAUAAAAAUCCAUUAGCUUUUUGGCCACCAAACUAACCAGGCGGCAUGAACUUUGCGCAAUGAUAUAUAAAUUUGAAUACCCUGCCGACCCGAGCUCACACACCUUAACAGGCGUUGACAUUAAUAUCACUUUAGCCCAAUCUGUCCAAUUUACCAAUAAAACUCUUGAAUCUCGGCUCGAAGUGCUUUAAACUGCAAUGGGCCAGGUAAAAGUGAGUCAGCCAGUAUUCGAGUGUGUAUCCUGAGCUGGCCGGGUGUUUGUUUGUGCGGCUGUGCCUUUUAACUUUUGCAUAAAAACAACGAACGCAGCCGGCAGCAGUUAGUGGAUGGAUGGAUGCAGGAUGCAGGCCAGAUCCAAGCCAAGGAUGCAACUUUCAGCUGCUAAACGAAAAUAUAAAACACUUAACUCGACUGCAGGGGCGACAAUCCCCUCCAUUUGUCCCUGGGAGCCCGCAGAUCCUCCUCUGCCUGGCGACACAUACAACUGCACUCUCGUCCUGGAGACUGGCAACAAUUUGAUGGCACUGAGCGCAGUGGGGGAAGCCCUUCCCCUUUGGGCCGGGCCAACAAACCCAGACACUGCCAUCCCCUGGCUGCGAAUUUAGGUCACUUUUUGGCAGCCGAGAACACUCACUGACGUUCAGUUUUACGAACUCUAUUACGGUUACGAUUAUGGGGGCACUUUAAUGAACAAAUUAACCCAAUGAGUUUGUUCUCACUUGCCAAGUUAAUAGCUAAGGAGGAUAGAAUACUAAGUGAAUAUAAGUAGAAUACUAAGCUCGCAGAAGUAUACAUAAUGGUCCUACAUUUCUGUGGCACUUCUUUUGAGUCGAAAUAUGAAAUUAAUUUUUUGGCAGGUUUGCGAUCUUUUAAAAGCAUAUUAAAGAAUUUUGCCAUA